UGCCAACCCAAAUCAUUGCAUGAUUCUGUGAGUGUCCCAAUAUCUGACUCAAUCACCCCAGUGAGCAGGCUUGGCAUGCACAGGCGUCUGGGAAGGGACCUGACCCACACAGCUGAUAUGAGAUGACCAAUGGGAUAUGCCUUUCUCUACAAUGUGCCCAGCAGUAAAAGCUGCAGGAAAUGGAGGAGAAAGAAGGAAUGUCUAUGGCUGUGGUGUUUGUCUUCUCGAGUAAUCAUUAAGCAUGAUGCAGCCAUGCUUUCCUGGAAGUGCUGAUAUCUGCCUGCCAGUAACAAGUAAUGAUUAAUUCCUUGCUUCACUUUUCUUGUGUGUCAAGUAUUUGUUUUACCUAUUUAAAUGCCUUUCUAUUAACCACGAAUUUUCAGUUUUUCUCUUUUGAUUCUCUCACACUGAAGAGGAAAUAACCCAGCAGCUGGGUAGGCUUAGUUGCUGGUUGCAAUCAGUUCACAUGUGAGGCACUUGCUUUUUUUGAAAAUUAAUUUGCAGAAAAUACUCAGUACAAUUUUAAUUAAUUAGUUGUUUUUUUGUUUUUUCUUUCCAACUUCAGGUAAUGAAAAUGCCUUCUAAUCCUGCACCACUACAAACUUGUGCUGUAAGCAUUCAGACAGCUGCUACAUUGAACAUACUGAGAAGUUCAGCCAUUUUCAGGUAUUGAUUCACACUAUAGUAGACAUCGUACACUACAGAAACAACAGAACAAACAUUGUCAGCAGAUCAGCUGAAGCUUGUCAUGGUUCCUGUUGCUUCUUAUAAUGCUGUUUCAUACAACAAGGCUUUAUGAGAAAUCUGCAGGUCCUGAGUGUGUCCUGUGGUACUGUGUACCUUUGCUACUCUGAGCAGUUCUGGCUGAGAAUUUCUGGAUGUAUCAUGAUGGAAUGCAAGCUGUGGAAGAUAAAUCGUUCCUCAGCUUCAAACUCCACUGCUUCCUCACUGCAACUAUAAGCUUAGAAGAGGUAAUCAGCAUGUGGUUUCAAGUGUUGCAUUUUCGGGGUAAUUUCACUUCUCCCUGUUUCAGUGCAGGUCAUUCAAUAGACAUUUCUUGUAAGUUUUUUAUCAUGGCAGUUCUAGUGUUCUAUGCAGCCCCUCACCAAUUUAACUUUAUUAGGAGGAUUUUGAAGGCAAAAUAA
rnacentral:lncRNA from 1 species